rnacentral:rRNA from 1 species
AGACAAUAGAUACCCUGGUAGUCCACGCCGUAAACGAUGGAUGCUAGCUGUUAUCAGUAUCGACCCUGGUAGUAGCGAAGCUAACGCGUUAAGCAUCCCGCCUGGGGAGUACGGUCGCAAGAUUAAAACUCAAAGGAAUUGACGGGGACCCGCACAAGCGGUGGAGCGUGUUGUUUAAUUCGACGCUAAGCGAAGAACCUUACCAAGGUUUGACAUCUCGGGAAAGUCUCCGAAAGGAGACCGUGCCUUCGGGAACCCGAUGACAGGUGUUGCAUGGCCGUCGUCAGCUCGUGUCGUGAGAUGUUUGGUUAAGUCCAUCAACGAGCGCAACCCUUGUAGUCUGUUGUAUUUCUCAGGCUAGACUGCCCCGGUAACGGGGAGGAAGGAGGGGAUGAUGUCAGGUCAGUAUUACCCUUACACCUUGGGCCACAAACACGCUACAAUGGCCGAUACAAAGGGCUGCCAAGCAGCAAUGCGGAGCAAAUCCCAUCAAAGUCGGUCUCAGUUCGGAUUGUUGGCUGAAACUCGCCAGC